AACGAACGCUGGCGGCAUGCCUAACACAUGCAAGUCGAACGAGACCUUCGGGUCUAGUGGCGCACGGGUGCGUAACGCGUGGGAACCUGCCCUUAGGUUCGGUAUAACUCUCCGAAAGGGGUGCUAAUACCGGAUAAUGUCUUCGGACCAAAGAUUUAUCGCCUUUGGAUGGGCCCGCGUUGGAUUCGCUAGUUGGUAGGGUACAAGCCUACCAAGGCGACGAUCCAUAGCUGGUCGGAGAGGAUGAUCAGCCACACUGGGACUGAGACACGGCCCAGACUCCUACGGAAGGCAGCAGUAGGGAAUAUUGGACGAUGGGCGAAAGCGUAAUACAGCAGUGCCGCGUGAGUGAUGAAGGGCUUAGGGUUGUAAAGCUCUUUUACCCGAGAUGAUAAUGACAGUACCGGGAGAAUAAGCUCCGGCUAACUCCGUG
rnacentral:rRNA from 1 species